GAUGAACGCUGGCGGCGUGCCUAAUACAUGCAAGUCGAGCGAAGAGACGAGGUGCUUGCUCCUCUGACGUUAGCGGCGGACGGGUGAGUAACACGUGGAUAACCUACCUAUAAGACUGGGAUAACUUCGGGAAACGAGUGCUAAUACCGCAUAAUAUCUUUAAACACAUGGUUCAAUAGUGAAAGACGCUUUUGCUUCACCUAAUGGAUGGAUCGGCGCCGCAUUAGCUGGUGGGUAGGUUAACGGCCUCCCAGGCCAAGGAACCGUAGCCGCCCUGAAGGGGUGAUGGCCACAAUGGGAACGAGACACCGGCCCAACCCCCUACGGGAGGCGCAGGAAGGAAACUUUCGGAAAUGGGCGAAGUCCUGACGGAGCAAGGCGGCGUGAGUAAUGAAGGUCUCCGGAUCGUAAAACUCUUUUAUUAGGGAAAAACAAAGGUGUAAGUAAAUAUGCACGUCUUGACGGUACCUAAUCAGAAAGCCACGGCUAACUACGUG
rnacentral:rRNA from 1 species